ACUAAAUAGAUACCCAGGUAGUCCACGCCCUAAACGAUGUCUACUAGUUGUUGGUGGAGUAAAAUCCAUGAGUAAACGCAGCUAAACGCGUGAAGUAGACCGCCUGGGGAGUACGGUCGCAAGAUUAAAACUCAAAGGAAUUGACGGAGGCCCGCACAAGCGGUGGAUUAUGUGGAUUAAUUCGAUGCAACGCGAAAACCUUACCUGGCCUUGACAUGCCACUAACGAAGCAGAGAUGCAUUAGGUGCCCGUAAGGGAAAGUGGACACAGGUGCUGCAUGGCUGUCGUCAGCUCGUGUCAUGAGAUGUUGGGUUUAAGUCCCGCAACGAGCGCAACCCUUGCCAUUAAUUGCCAUCAUUUAGUUGGGCACUUUAAUGGGACUGCCGGUGACAAACCGGAGGAAGGUGGGGAUGACGUCAAGUCCUCAUGGCCCUUAUGGCCAGGGCUUCACACGUAAUACAAUGGUCGGUACAGAGAGUUGCCAACCCGCGAGGGGGAGCUAAUCUCAGAAAGCCGAUCGUAGUCCGGAUUGUUCU
rnacentral:rRNA from 1 species